UUUUGAGAUCUCCUAGUUCGUUAUCCGAGGAUUUGAAUCUAUUUUCAUCGUCUUUAAUUUCAACUCUAUUUCAAUACUUCGAGGUCGGUAAUCGGUUUGUUCGCGAAGACGCUUCAUCUCCUCUAUCAGGUCUAUCGUCCAUUUACAAACACGCACAAACAAGCCCUAACUCAACAAUGGAGACUGGAGUGUGGCACCUCCCGGUUAGAGAUCGAGAAGGAGAGGAGAAAUAAGAGAAUUUGAUCAUAUGGUGGUUAUUGUUGCUAGGGAUAUGAACUGCAACAUUCAGAUCAUAUCGACUUGUUCAUCAUCGUCUAAUUCUGAGCUCAUUUUCUCCUUCACGGCGAGCGGGUCUCUUCACAAGCAAGACAAAAAUCUUAUCGGGUGCAUUUCAUUUGUGGUAGAGUCAAAGUGUACCACUUGAAUAGCCAUUUACGGGUGAAUCUAUCUCAUUUGUGAAGACAACAAGGAGAUGAAAAGUUUGGAGGAAGAAGAUGAAUUGUUUAAAUAAAGUCUGGUGAGAAUUUGAUCUAUAAAUUAGUAUUAUUAUUUUUUACAAAUUUUAAUUUUAUUAGUAUUUU